CUGAGCUCCAACUGAAUGGCUGAAGGAGGAACGUUCCAGGCACACUGUGUGACGAAGAGAGCUGGAUGCCUAGUGGCUUGUUUCAUGAGGACCUUGAAGCUGUGGAGAAAGAGUCUGGCGUUCGUGUUCUGGGGAGAAGGCUCAAAGAAGGCCAGCGGGAGUGUGAGAGGGAUAACCGAGGCCACCAAACCCACUGCACGGAUUCGCAAGCAAGACCUGUGACCCAGCGAGCUUGCCUGGGGUCCCAAAGGUAAAUACUGGUGUAACUGGCAGAAGAGCUCCAGGCUGGACGUCUCUUUGAGGUCUCUCUGUCAUAUCUGAGGGAACCAAAGCACAGCAGGUCGUGACCACUGGCCAGUGAUCCCGCAGCCAUUUCCGGGGUGGGGGCGGGGGGGGGCGAACUCCUCAUCCAGCCUUCAUCCGCCCCAUCACUGAACUGCUGAGCUGUCUGUCUCCUGAUGCAAUGAUAUCGUCCUUCGAUUCUUUGCUGAAAUUCUCUCCUGGGAGUUGGGAUUGGGGAUGGACGAGAGAAAGAAGUUUUAGCUGAGUCAGGGGCCUGAUAAAAUCAGUCUGUCCACAUUUUUGAUGAGCCAACCCCUCACUUUAUUUAACCUUUGU
rnacentral:lncRNA from 1 species